ensembl:lncRNA
UGAAUAUGCACAUGUGAAUGUCUGUUUUAAUUCACUGCCUGUGAAAAAAGCUUCAGGCGCCGCUCCGAGCUGGCAGCCAGUAUCAGCAGCUCCAGCCUGACAGAGUCCUUUUUUCCCUUUAAUAUUUGUUUCUUUGUUGUUCUUGUGAACCUUGUUUUUGUUUUUCUAUUGUGGACUGUGGACUGAGCUUUUCUUUUGUGGACUGAUCUCCCACAAUGGAGCUCGGAAUUUUAUGGACAAUCGUUUUUGUUAUUGCAUUUGUCACGGCAUCUGUGUCCGGAGAGCGCGUGGAGAUCCAACCUCGCAUUCUUUACAGCAGGGCUCUGUUGUUAGCCAGAAGCUGUUAGCCCUCGGCGCUUCUGCUGUUCUGCCUACCACCGAGCAAGCCAACAUCCCCCACAAGAUACUGGACUACCUCACAGAACGCCCACAGUAUGUGAUGACACAGGGCUGUGUCUCUGAUACACUGUCUACAGUACGGCGGCCUCACAGGGAACUGUGCUGGAUCUGUUCCUCUUCACCUCCUAGACUGCAGACUUCUCCAUUACCUCCCCAUGCUGCCACCAACAGAAGUUCUCUGACAACUCUGCCAUAGUUGUCAUCACCACAGGGGUUGGAACCAGGGCCGGCUAUUAAAAUGGUCACCACCAGACCAAGGCUCAAUCGAGUCAUGGAAGGAGGAAUCAGAGGAUGUUUAUGUGAAGACCAUCUGGGUUGUGUCAGAACUCACGGAUGUAGGAGACCUCUGUAUAAGAUUUAUAGGCCUUGAGAGUGCAUCUUACUGCAAUUGUAGAACAAAGGAUUCUAACUGUCUAGUGUUUAACGGACCUGUCAAAGGUAUGUUGAGAUACGAUAGUAGAAGGCCUCUUUCAGAGCUGGGGGACCUUCCUUAUAUGGUUUUAACUUGAAACUUGUUGACACACGAACUUUCUGCCUAUAAAUACUGCUGCAC